GCCUGGGUGGCUCAGAUGGUUAAGCGCCCGACUUUGGGUCCGGUCAUAAUCUCACGGUCCGUGGGUUUAAGCCCUGCCUCGGGCU
rnacentral:tRNA from 1 species